rnacentral:rRNA from 1 species
UACGGGGGGGGCAAGCGUUGUUCGGAAUUACUGGGCGUAAAGGGCUCGUAGGCGGCCAACUAAGUCAGACGUGAAAUCCCUCGGCUUAACCGGGGAACUGCGUCUGAUACUGGAUGGCUAGAGUUUGGGAGAGGGAUGCGGAAUUCCAGGUGUAGCGGUGAAAUGCGUAGAUAUCUGGAGGAACACCGGUGGCGAAGGCGGCAUCCUGGACCAACAUUGACGCUGAGGAGCGAAAGCGUGGGGAGCAAACAGG